ACAAAAUGUAGCUUAAACACAAAGCACCUAGUCUACACCUAGAAGAUUUCAAACAAAAGAACAUUUUGA
rnacentral:tRNA from 1 species